rnacentral:rRNA from 1 species
UACGUAGGGUGCAAGCGUUGUCCGGAAUUAUUGGGCGUAAAGAGCUCGUAGGCGGUUUGUUGCGUCGGCUGUGAAAUCCCGAGGCUCAACCUCGGGUCUGCAGUCGAUACGAGCAAACUAGAGUGUUGCAGGGGAGACUGGAAUUCCUGGUGUAGCGGUGAAAUGCGCAGAUAUCAGGAGGAACACCGGUGGCGAAGGCGGGUCUCUGGGCAACAACUGACGCUGAGGAGCGAAAGCGUGGGGAGCGAACA